ACAACCGCCUAUCCGCCUUAUUCCACGACUCUUGCUUCCCGUAUUUCUUCUCUAAUGUUUCAAAAAUCAAGGGGCUCACAAUGUGUUCGACGGAAUGCCAUCUUUCGAAACUUUCAAUUUCAUCGAGCACGUUGACAAGGACUGAAUUUGGACUCGGAUGAUGAGCUUCAGUCGCGUUGCUUCCAUGUUCAUCGAUAUCGAUGCAAUUUAAAGACGUGAAUCUGUCUUCACAUGGUGAAUCCUGCAAAAUAUGCGACGAGAUAUGUUUAGCUUCAGAAAAGAAAACCAUAAUGAAAAGCAGCAAGUAUUACCUGUUCAAAAGAAACAUCCAAAGAACAGGGAAAACAUCCUUCUUUUGCAGAAUCGUUGCAUUCUGCUUUCUCAUCUAUUUGUUUGAUCCCUUCAUCACCAGAAGAAAACUCAACAUCCUCAGAAUUUGUCAACAAAUUGUUGUGUUGUCUCCCAGAGGUGAAUCCCAAAUCAUGUUUAGACACUUUCUUGAGCUUUUUAUUUGGAAGAGAAGAGAUGUUAAAUCGUUUAUAUACCAAUUUGGUGGCAGAUUUAUCUUUCCAAUCUUGUGUUCCUAAUUCUAAUCUCUGCUUUGACUCAAGACCCGCCAUUGAAGGCACCUCACUAUGAUCACAAACCCGUAUACCAGACCAAAUUUCUUGACAAACUUUGGGCCUUUUUGAUCUUGCUAAAAGCUGCUUCUUGAAUUCCCACCCAAAAGUAGUACUUCUGUUCUCAAGAUACCUUAAAGAAACAUCCUUACUUGAAUCAUUUAAUGUUGAAUUCGGCUUCUUUAAUAUCUCCCGAUUCUUUUGCUUAACUUUACUCCAUCUUCUUCCUCGUGAACCUACAGAAGCAGAUUUCUGGAGAUAGUUCUCAGACAACACUCUUUUUGGUCUAGAAACUGGCUGUUGCUUCAAUGGCACCUCAUGAAGACCCAUUAACUUUGCAAUGACACUUGGAUUGUUGUUUCUUUCGGUUCUUAUCAUAUUCAACAGCUUCGUAUCUCUAUGCAGAAAUUGUAGGCAAAGUGAUUAUCUGCUGCUGAGAAGGAAAAAUACAGAGAAAACGUCAUCAUGAGAGCAUCAUAAUUAAAGAAGAUUAUUAUAUGCAGGAAGAUCCUGAAAACGCGAAAGAUUUCGAUGAAUCGAGGUUAAGAAGGUGGAGUUAUUAUGACAGAUAAAUGAUAUUACGAUAAAGAAGAAUGAAAUGAAUAAAACGGUGGCUAAAUUGAAUUGAUAUGAGAGAGAAAUUAGGGUUUAUCAUUAAUUGUAGGUUUGAAUUUAUUUGAUUACAUCACUGGCAUAAUUUUCUAGAGGAAAUCCUUAGCAUGCUUCGGAUUUUGGAGUUUUCUUGUAAGAAUGAAAUCACAUUUUUACACGUAUAUGAAAUAUAUUUCAAAAGAAACCCCUGUAUAAUUCAACCUGGCUUGUAAGACCCUUCUAUACUAUUGUAUAAAGGAUAAACUCAUGUUUACAACA